rnacentral:rRNA from 1 species
CCUACGGGAGGCAGCAGUAAGGAAUAUUGGUCAAUGGGCGCAAGCCUGAACCAGCCAUGCCGCGUGCAGGAAGACGGCCCUAUGGGUUGUAAACUGCUUUUGAACAAGAGAAAACCUCGGUACGUGUACCGAGCUGAUAGUAUUGUUAGAAUAAGCAUCGGCUAACUUCGUGCCAGCAGCCGCGGUAAGACGAAGGAUGCAAGCGUUAUCCGGAUUCAUUGGGUUUAAAGGGUGCGUAGGCGGCCUGAUAAGUCAGUGGUGAAAUCUCUCAGCUUAACUGAGAAACUGCCAUUGAUACUGUCGGGCUUGAGUACAGAUGAUGUGGGCGGAAUAUGACAUGUAGUGGUGAAAUACUUAGAUAUGUCAUAGAACACCGAUUGCGAAGGCAGCUCACAAAACUGUAACUGACGCUGAGGCACGAAAGUGCGGGGAUCAAACAGGAUUAGAUACCCUGGUAGUCCGCACCGUAAACGAUGAUUACUCGUUGUUGGCAAUAUGACCGUCAGCGACCAAGCGAAAGCGANAAGUAAUCCACCUGGGGAGUACGCCGGCGAACGGUGAAACGUCAAAGAGUUAGUUAGACGNGAGGAGNGCGACGGAGACACACGGGAGGUAGG